UGACCUCGAUGUUGAAUCAAGAAUUACUGGUUGUAGAAGACCAGCAAGUUUCGUCUGUUCGACGAUACAUAAAUACGUGAUUUGAGUUUAAACCGUCGCAAGACAGGUUGGAUUCUCUUUAAGACUGCAACAUUCAACCAU
rnacentral:rRNA from 1 species